AGUCGAGCGGUAACAGAUCUAGCUUGCUAGAUGCUGACGAGCGGCGGACGGGUGAGUAAUGCAUAGGAAUCUGCCCUGUAGUGGGGGAUAACCUGGGGAAACCCAGGCUAAUACCGCAUACGUCCUACGGGAGAAAGGGGGCUUCGGCUCCCGCUACGGGAUGAGCCUAUGUCGGAUUAGCUAGUUGGUGAGGUAACGGCUCACCAAGGCGACGAUCCGUAGCUGGUCUGAGAGGAUGAUCAGCCACAUCGGGACUGAGACACGGCCCGAACUCCUACGGGAGGCAGCAGUGGGGAAUAUUGGACAAUGGGGGGAACCCUGAUCCAGCCAUGCCGCGUGUGUGAAGAAGGCCUUCGGGUUGUAAAGCACUUUCAGCGAGGAAGAACGCCUAGUGGUUAAUACCCAUUAGGAAAGACAUCACUCGCAGAAGAAGCACCGGCUAACUCCGUGCCAGCAGCCGCGGUAAUACGGAGGGUGCAAGCGUUAAUCGGAAUUACUGGGCGUAAAGCGCGCGUAGGUGGCUUGAUAAGCCGGUUGUGAAAGCCCCGGGCUCAACCUGGGAACGGCAUCCGGAACUGUCAGGCUAGAGUGCA
rnacentral:rRNA from 1 species